rnacentral:rRNA from 1 species
GACGAACGCUGGCGGCGUGCUUAACACAUGCAAGUCGAACGGUGAAGCGCCUUCCUUUUUGGUGGGUGUGGAUGAGUGGCGAACGGGUGAGUAACACGUGAGUAACCUGCCCCCUUCUUCUGGAUAACCGCAUGAAAGUGUGGCUAAUACGGGAUAUUCUGGGUCUGUCGCAUGAUGGGUCUGGGAAAGAUAUUGUUUCGGUGGGGGAUGGGCUCGCGGCCUAUCAGCUUGUUGGUGGGGUGAUGGCCUACCAAGGCGGUGACGGGUAGCCGGCCUGAGAGGGUGGACGGUCACACUGGGACUGAGACACGGCCCAGACUCCUACGGGAGGCAGCAGUGGGGAAUAUUGCACAAUGGGCGCAAGCCUGAUGCAGCGACGCCGCGGGAGGGAUGGAGGCCUGCGGGUUGUGAACCCCUUUCGCCAGUGAAGCAGGCCUGCCUCGUUUGUGGGUGGGUUGACGGUAGCUGGAUAAGAAGCGCCGGCUAACUACGUG